GAGAGAAAUUCUCUUCCACUUUACUUUCCCCUUCUCCCUCUCUAUCCCCCCAAAUUACACGCCAUUGCUGCUGCUUCUCUCUCUCUCUCUCUCUCUCUCUCUCUCUUAGGAACGAAAUCUCCAACGCCAGUGCUCUUUGAAUCGGAGAAGAUCAGGGACAUUGAGUUCGCCAGUGCUCAUCUUCACAGCUCUCCCUUCGUCGUGCUUUCUCUCCCUUCCUCACCAUGACAAACCCUAAUCUCUCUCUCUCUCUCUCUCUCUCUCUCUCUCUGCGAAUAAGCAGCACAGUUCUUCUACUCGGUCUGAAAAAAAAUUAAAAAAUCAAACAACUCUUCUGGUGCGAGUUUAUCACAGAGCUGAUUCCGUUCCAGAUCUACACUUUUCGGUCUACAUUUUUGUGCACAAUCGUCUCCCAGCUCUGGAAAAGGAAGUGGUUAUGGAUUUGCUAACAAGGUUAGCCUCUGUCAUGUGCUGUUGACUUUCACUACUUGCCACUCGGGCAGGUUAUGUAGCAUUUAAGGACAUAAUUACCUUAAACUUAAGUAUGGUUUAUGACUUUGAUUUAUUUCGAGUAAACAAGUCCAUAUAGCCAUUCCAAUUACUUAUGUCAAAUGCUUAUUUAGUUGAGUGAUUAAGUGUGUUAAAUCUUGCAAUAACUAAUCUUAGGAAUGUGAUUUAUUUUGAUGUGUUCUUUGUCAUGGAAUUCGGAAAUGGAGGGGAUUUUUCCGGUAUACCUUUCGUUCACCAUCUUAGGAUUCUUAGCAAGGGCAAAACAUUCAUAAGAAACUGCCUUCAUUUGCUUUCCAUGGAUAGAGUUUAUACCUGCACUUCGUUAAUAUUUAAGAACCUGUGAGCUACCAAAAAGUUGCUUCUGUCACUCUUUGGAGUUAUCAGAUUUGGAAGACAAACUUUAUUUAGUUCAUUACUUUUGAUCACGCCAUGUAAAUUCACGUUGAAUGAAAUUAUCUAAACACACAUCAUGUAUGCUUCAUCUUGUGAACUAAAUUAUUCUCUCCAAAUGAGAUUUAACUUCUUACCAGAGCAUUGAAUGUUGUUACCUCAAUAUGCUUGCCACAUUAUUUGAGCAAGGAAUGUAUCAAGGUCUUGAAGUCACUGUGUUAUAGUCUCUGGCCAAUAUCAGAGCAAAUGUUCAUAUGCUGAUUAUUACCAGUGCCCCUAACUACUGGAAUAAUAUGGAACUCAUAAUUUAUUUCUUCUGCCAUUAUCAAAAACCUUGGAACACCACCUUUAUUCUCAUAUUUAUAUUUUCUUUUCAAGUGUGUGAGUGUAUUUGUAUCUGUGUGAGAGAGAGAGGUAUUGACGGUGCAAGGCUUAUGAAAGGGUACUAGCCAUUAGUUACUUGUGUUCAUUCCAUAUGUGUGGCUUGCUAUACUAUUUUUAACCCCCUCGGUUCUGUAACCUGUUUAUGUUAUUAUUUUGUCUGCAAAAAAAAAAAAUGAUAAUUAGUAGAACGACCUUAAGGUGGGACCUCUUGUGAUUCUGUGCUUCUUACCAUCUUCUGGUACUUAGAGCUUGGAUUAGCUUAGGGUUUCUCACUGUUAUUAUAACAAAGACAUCACAUAUAUUGAGAAUUGUUUUUCCUUUGAGUGAUGUUUCCUACUUCCUGCUGCCCUUCAUUGAUUUAUGAACUGCGCUGUCUGUUUGACCUUUUUUUGUCAGAUUGCCGAUUGAAUGGCAGUAUAAGUGCAUACUGUAAAUAUUCUAAUAGAUGCCUUCCAUUGUACUCUUUUGGACACAUUGUUUAUUGAAUAUUUAGGCAUUUGAUCCUUGAUUGAACUUGAGUGCAAAGCAAAGCAUUGUCACUUAUCGAAUGAUCCCCUCUUCCUAUAAAAUGACAAAACUUGGUCCUCAUGCUCAAUGUCCUACUCCUUAGAUGGGUCAAUGUAUCAUCGGGUUCUAUUGCUUCUAUUGUACAAACCUCAAAACAUAGUGUCAUGUAACUUCUUCUGUUGACGUUCGCUCAUUGAUUAAACACUAACUUGAUGUUUGCUCAUUGAUUCAACACUAAGUUGAAGCUUCUUAUUUUCAAUGAGUCAAUUACUGGCAGCACUCUUAUGGCUUAGUCUGAGCAGCUACCUCAACAAAGUUUAGUGAUUGUCAUGAGGCACGAAUUCAACAGCAAGAUGGUCUUCCCGAGUUUGGAAAGCACAAAGCAGCAAGUCAGGAUUAAGGUGUCCAACAAAAUCCAAAUAACAGGUCAAAAAUCAUAAAGAUAUUUAUGCUUCAUCUCAUCUCGGAGUGAUCUACUUGUACUUAGGUCCAAAUAUAUUAGUUCUUCCUUUCUAUCCAAAUUAUUUGUCUUUUACACCCUGUAUCAGUUUUUCAUUCAAUGAAUUAAGCUAUCGCAAUGAAAAAAGAAUUGGAAUUGUAGCCUUUAACGAUGUCAAUUAACGGACAACUCAACGGGCAUGAUAGACGUGCAAGGCACGUCACCAUGCACCUAGUAUACAAUAAGAGCCAGUUUUUUCGGAUGCCACUUUUCCAAUUUGGGACAAUUUUACCCCUCAAUUGCAAACAGUGCGUACUUAGCCAACUGGGUAUUCGGUCUUUUCGGCCCAUGUGGAAAACGUGACCUACAUCACGCCACGUCUCCCCCUCUCCCCUUUGUUCUCUUCAGCCAUUGAUCUUCAUUCGCUCCUUUGCUACGCCAACGGGUACUCGUACCUUCCAUUGCUGUCUUCUCUUUCUUGGAUUCUACAGAGUGCUGGUUGCAUCUUCUUCUCUCCGCUCGAAGCGUCUUCAACUGCCAAAUUGAGCAUGGACGAUGACGCCAGAUCCGACUCCCACAACCAUCGCCAAACCCCAGCCGAAGCCACUUCCUUACACGCCGCCGCCAACAACAGCGCCCGCUCCCGCCGCUGCGGCGAACUGGAAGAAGAAGACAACUUCGCCGAGGAACAUGGCAACGGCGCCGUGGCCUGGGGCUCAGUCCCCUACGUAUUUUUUAUGUUUGCACUUGUAUUAUUUUUGAAUUGAGUAAAUGCCAAUUUCAGCUUUAACUGUGUUUCGGUGUGUGUGUGUGUGGCUUGAUUCUGUGCUCUACUGUUAGCUAUUGGAUUUAGAUAGUGUCAACUUGUUUUGGUAACUGUUAGGCUCUCGUUUAGGGUUUCUCCGCUUUGCAUUCCACCGUCAUGGGACAGGUUGAGAUCGUGAAGCGACGGGAGGAACUGAGGUGGCUGCCAACGGAUUUGGGUCUGGGUCGGCGCUGAUGUAUUUCACUGCAUCGGUGAUCAACGAGUGGCGGGGAUGUAGUGCGAUGGGUUCGUUGGUGGAGUUUUGGAAGAUUUGUGUUGUCGAGAAUAUUGAUUGUUGAUUUGAUUCAACCAAACUUGGCUCCCCGAUGUUCUACUCUUCAUGGAUUGCCUGUUUUGUUCUUCACUAUGGGUGUGCAGCUUCUUCAAAUGAGUAUUCAUUUAACGCAGCACAAGCAUGGCUUCUUAUGCUAUAAUCAUUUGUGUUAUCUAUUUAUGUGUUGUGUACUUGUGAUUGAAUCUUAUGUCAUGCUGGUAGGAAUUUUUGAGUCGGGUAUGCAAUUUUUUCCGAAGAUCUAUUCAUAUAAGGUUGUUCUGUUUGAAUGGCACUCAAUAUUACUAGAAAAAAUCUGUGUUGUGUAGUCAUCAUAAAUUGGUGACAAACUUGACAUUGCCUACGACAAAAACAUUAGUGGAAACCUCAUCAUCUUGCAGCACCCAAAUGAGCACAAAUGGAGUUGUUUCCAUCUAGCUGAACCACCAUAACCAAAAGUUACAUUGACAAAUUUUGCUUAUGUUUAUGGCCAUAGACAUUCUAAUUUUUAUGCUCAAAAUUCUAUUGUUUUUGUCCGAUGGUACGGUUUUCAGCUUCGAUUUUUGUGAAUUUGACUGUUGAUGGUGAUUACGUCUUUUGAAUUUUUUGGGUUUUGAUUUGAAAUUCUAUCGCUCAUAUUUACAUUCAAUUAUUUCCAUGCUUCAACUUUUCCGAAUUGCAUUAUGGGUGGUGAUUGUCCAUUAUGUCAUAUUCUUGCAUAGUAGGAAGGGCAUAUCCUCUUUUUUACAUUGACUUAUGCAUGAAAAUGAUAGCAAUAUAGAAAAAUAUUGCAUAAUGGGAAGGGAUCUGUUUUCUUUUAUGAAAAAUAAAAAAAAUAAAAAAAUUCACGACUCCAAACUACCCUAGCUCACAAAUAGAUUUCAUUGCAACAAUAGUGAAAAAACUAGAACCGCCUACAUCGAGACGUGAGAAUUUUAGGCUAAAAUAGCAUAGACUCAAAGGGAGGACAACAAAACAACAUAGCAGCAGAGGAGGAUAUGCCUGAUGCAUUGUUUUUUUGGUUACAGUUGUCAUGUACUCAGAUUUUAAGGCUCUUAUCUUUGAUCAUUCAACUUUUUGUUGGGUAGUGUGCUUUGGGUUUCCUCAUUACCUCAUGUAUCAACAGCAUGAGGUAUGUGUUUAUCCUCUUCUUUUUGUUUUUUUCCCCCUCAUCCAUCGUCAUUUGGGUGAGUUUAUGAUAUAUUUUUUGGUUCGAGUAGACACCAAAAUAAUGUAUUUUUCUGCUAAAAAUACCAAAAAUAUCAUUCAGACCACAAAAUUGUCUUGAAUAGUGGGAUUUUUAGGUAAAAAUACUGAAACUACUAUUCAGACAAUAGCGUGAACUCGCCCUAUCGUAUGCCGUAUUUGUAAGAGCUUCCAUCACCAGGCAAAGAAAUCAAAGUGACUAUAUCUAUACAAUAUACACACACAUGACUAUAUCUAUGUAUACAUCUCUAUCUUCCUUUACACUUAUUUGCAGAAUGUAUAGACAGGCUUUUUUUACUUUCUCUUUCUGACCGAGUAUCUUGGGAACAAUUGAAAGCUAGGUUACAAAGGAGCAAAACCGAGAAAGAAUGGUUGGCCGACUGGGUAUCAAGAAAUGACAACGUUGGGCAGAGCUUGCCAAUCUACGUGACCGGCAUCUCUAUAUUGGUGGUUCUCAUCAAUUUGCUGCGUUUUGGGCAUUGCUUAUACCAGUAGGUAAAAGUAAAAUCCUUUGCUUCUUUACUUGUUAAUUGUAUAUACUAUAUAUACGACUAAAAGUUACACACAGAGUGAGGAAAUGGUGAAUGGGGUGCGAAAGUCUGCUUGUGUUUGUGGAUAAGAUAAACUUUCUUUCAAAUUUUCAAAUGGUCGUCGGAACAUAUUUAAUGAUAAACUUUCUUUCAAAUUUUCAAAUGGUCGUCGGAACAUAUUUAAUUGGGAACUUAGAUGACCGCAUUCUCUUCCACAAAGCCCAAUUCAACUUCACAAUCAUGUUUUCAUUUGUGGGUAGCCUGUGAUUGAAUCUUUUAAUUUUGCAGGUUUCUUUUGGUGGGUUCUGAUAAAAAACUGGUGUGUGUGUGUGUGUGUGUGAGAGAGAGAGAGAGAGAGAGAGAGAGAGAGAGAGAGAGAGAGAGACUUGAAGUUCUGCAGGUUGUGUUGAAGGAAGUUGUGGAUUUGAUAUAUGAUAAUUACAUGUCGUUUCCUUAAUUAUGUUGUGUCAAAUUUGUUGCUUUUGUUUUGUUUUUUAUUCUUGGAGUUUGAUGGAAUUGGGUUUAUGAGUGCAGGAAAACAUGCCCAUUGAGGAAGUUUUUGACAAUUUGAGGUGUAGCAAAGAACGUUUAUUCAGUCUGCUCAGCAAAGGCUUGAGCUUUCUGGCUAUAACAAACUCGAGGAGAAGAAUGAGAGUAAAUUCUUGAAGUUUUUAGGCAUUAUGUGGAACCCUCUGUCACGGGUAAUGGAAACAACUGCUAUCAUGGCAAUUGCCCUUGCCAACGAUCAAGGCAAGCCUCCUGAUUGGCAAGACUUUGUGGGUAUAAUCACUGUGCAUGUGAUUAACUCGACGAUUAAUUUCAUUAAAGAAAACAAUGCAGGAAAUGCUGCUGCUGCUCUCAUGGCUUGUCUCGCUGCCAAAGCCAAGGUGAUAUUGCAUCUGUUCAUUGAAAUUUAGGUUGCUUGCUUACAUAAAUUGUGUUGAUUUCAUGCUUUUGGUCUCAUUGAAAAUUGUUAAGAGCAUACAUAAACCGCUGUUUUAAGGCCAUCUCUCUGUCCUAAAAAAAACAAAAAGAAAAAGGCCAUCUGUAGCCAUUUACUCCAAUUUCUAUUCAUCUGAAGUAAAAUCUUGAUUUCAUAGGAAGCAAUUUUUUUUUUGCUUCUUCUGAUUGAAAGCACAGUCCAAUCAGAAAUCCCAGAUUUAAACAUAACUUUAACUUUUUGGUAAAAGCUUCAAUACAGGCGCAGUAGUUAAUCUUGAAAACCCCAAAAUAGCCUUGAAAUAUUUGAGUGAAGAAAAGGAGAGUGAAAUUUGUAUUGAUAUGAGAUUAGGUGUAGAACUGGAGAAAGGUUUUUAAAGGUUUUAAUUGAGUUUAAUUUAAAGUCAAAAUUUUACUGAACAUGGCUAAUCGUCUUUAAUGGACUGAAUGACAGUGAAAGGAUUUACGAAUGGUCUUAGUCCUUUCGAUUUGUGCUUAGUUUUGAUGCUCCUGCUAUGCCGUGUGUCGCUGGAUGUGUUUUGUGGAAACCCUUUUAAAGCAUGAGACUUAUCUAUAGCUUGUUUAUGUUUUGACUUAUAUGGUUGUGUUUACGGUUAGGACUGCUUAUGAACUUAAUGUGUAAGCAUACAGUUUGUGUUCAUAGGUGGAUGUGUAUGUAUGAACAAGAGUAUCACCACUGGCCAGGUAAAAACGGAACUUCAAUCUAAACAUCUAGCAUAAACGAUAUAUAUAUAUAUAUAUAUAUA